rnacentral:lncRNA from 1 species
CGGGAAACAGCUAGCAGGAUCUGAAUGCUUUUUUAUUAUAGAAUAGGCCAAUACUCUGCAUAAAUUUGCAGAAAGUGGAGUGAUUUGUGAUAAUUACUGUUUUAAACAUAAGCUUCCUUGUUGGCCUUAAGAUCCUUGUAUGUGCUUUUGUAUCCAUUGUUGAUUCUGCAGAAUAUAAUUAGCCACAUUCGUUUUCACUUGCCUUUUUUGGGCAGCAUUUCUGCUUCCGUUUUUCCCCCAACUGUUUUGGAUUUGGUUUUGUGUCUGGACUUAUAUUUUGAUUUUGGUUUUGUGUCUGGACUUAUAUUUUGUUUAAAGUCAAGCAAAGAGUGCAUAGUUCUCUUUGACUAUCCGUUGGACCAGCUCUUUCCGUCCGCUUGUACCCAAAAACAGCGACUUGCAUCAAUAAGGCAUUCUACGCUGGCAACUGUGAAAAAGUAGAUUGUUCUUUUGCUGGAGAUCUUGCUAUUGCUAGAGUAGAUGUGUCAAAUCCUUUGCAUUUGCAACUUAAUGAAUCAAGAACUUGCUAAAAAGAAAAAGUGGUUUACUCUACCAACCUACAUGUUUGACACGUGAUAUUUAAAAUAGAAGAGAGGAUAAUUUGGUAAAGAAGGGAAACUAAAAGUUGCCUAUUCCCCUCUAACUCUGCUUUUGUUGAAUUUUCAAUUCUACAUGCAAGGACCAUCAACGGUAUCUUAGUUUUAAAGGUUAUUUCAGUAAAGUUGUUUGAUAAGUGACCAGUUUUAUUCCCAUUGACCAUGAAUCGUAAGUUACUGUUAAGGGUCUUUUCUGUGGGAUUGUUUGAUAACUAAAGUUAAUGGUUAAUUUUACCCACACAAGUCAUGAACAGCUAAGGGUCAUUUGGACUAAAGUAGUUUAAUAAUUGGGGUUAAUGGUCGAUUUUUCCUCCGAACCAGUAAGCCUUUUGCGUAUAAUUUACGGUUCCAUUACAUGUUAUUAAUAUUGCUUAAGUAUACAAUGGCUGACGCAAAGGCCCAAUUCAAUGCAUCCAUUACAUAAAACCCACGUUUUUUAAAUUUUUGUUGUCACAUUUUAGGUCUUGAUAUCUGUUAGGUUUAAAACUCUUUACUUAUAACCUUUUGAUUAAGUUCAGUAGUUAAUUAUCAAAUUUGAGACAAAAAAUAUUAAAAUAACAUGCGAAAUUCUGGGUAAUGAUAAAAGGAAUAAUAGAAUUUCAAAAAGAGGAUAUAAGUUCGUUAUAAUUCAAGAUAAGGGAAUUCAUCACUAUUCAAAGUUUAUUAAAAAAUAAGGGACGUUGAGUGAAUUUACCCCAAUGCCAUUCUAAUUUGAAUGAUGACGUGUAUAUCUAUGAACUCCAUGGAUAAUGUGGUAAUGCCACAUCAUUAUGCUGGGCCCAAAUAGUGGAGCAUUUGAUGACAUGGAUACGGGGCAGGAGACCACUCCUGAACGGUCUCCUCACAAUCAGAAACGUGAGGAGACAACUGAGCCAAGUAAGCAAGGCUCAAGCAGGGCAUAAAAACGACGCCGUUCCAAAUAAAAAAAUGUUGACUUCUAAACGGGAGCAGACGGAGCAAACGGAAGAGAAGUAGAUUUUGAAAUUCAAGUUGAAAUUUUGAAUUAGCCGCAGAAAACAAAACUGAGGGAAGAGUCUUGGCAUGCUUCUGAAGGUAGUCUACUCUGACCGACCGCUCACUGAAGGUAGAAAGCUGAAGUUCGGGUGGGAUUCGACCUACUGGGUGUUUCUAGGUGAAGUGGGUGUAGUCUACUCUGAUGAAGGUAGCAAUUGACAGAAAAGUGGGUGGAGAGGCAGGCGGCAAGGUAGAAGCAAACAGAGACGAAGCCAAAGUUUGUUCGUAAAACUGAAUAGCAGAAGCAGCUGUGGUCUUCAACUGGGUAUGGGAGUGUUGUAUCUAUUUUGAAUGCGUGCAAGGCAGGCUGUAAGGUAGAAGCAAACAGAGGAAAUUCAGCAUCUCACGAACCCAGAUUUUGUCCUUCAACUUAAUAGCAGAAGCAGCUACGCUCUCCGACUUCGAUGAAAUGUAAAGCGUAUUAGCAUGUGACGACCCCACUUCUCCCAAGGGCGAACCCAAGGGUAUCGGCGGGCCGCCUGCCUAGCUCGCGCCAGGACUCAAACCUUAAAGCGAUAAAAACCAGAAAAUCCAAAAGAGUACCUUACAUACUAUAUACAAAAAGGAUAUAAGCUGUAACAUAAUUUUGGAGAAUUAGUAAGUAUGGAAUAAGUAACAUGUUUUUUGGAAACAAACACAAAAGCCGAAGUACACAUAAUGAAUAAAAAAUGUUGGGUGUACUUUUAUAGUAAUUAAUACAAAUUUUUGAAGUAAAUACUUGUUUGUUAGGUUAUGUGUUCGGGUCGAUAUUGUUUAAAAAUGCACAAGAUGUAACUUUACAUGUGCACUGUGUCUUUAGUCUAUAACUAGGACCAAGAGUGAUGUAUUUAGGUGACGGGAUUGAAAGCUGGUGAGAGUAACAUGCUUUUUUAUACAACUAUAUCCAUGUGAAUUCGGGUUGUUUUAUGUACAAAGCGUAAUGGCACAAGUAGUACCGACACCUUGAUGAGUGUUACGUCGACUUAUUAACCAGUUACGGAAGAUUGCAGCUUUUAUCGUCAAAGGAACUUAACAAUUAACUCAGGGUCAUGUGUUUUGAAUGAGGGUCCCUCCCUUUGUUGUUUCCAGCCGUACAACUUGCCAAUUUUACAGUAUUUGGUGUAUAUUCAAAUGUUUGCACUUCAAUGCACACCUAUUGAUUAUUUUGUCACACACUUCAGGGUUGAUAAAAAUUAUAGAAAUUUUUAAAUAGUCGUCUUGGCUCCCUGGGUUUUAAUAUUUGAUGUACAAGUAGUUCACCUGUCUUUACUCCUUCUUUAAAGAAGUGAUACACCCAUGUAGUAAUGGUAGUUACUACAAUAAGCUUAGCAGUGGUCAAUUUAUUCGGGUAAGCACCUAUGAUGUCUCGGGUUGUUGAUUAGAUGUAAGUUUGGUCCUGCUUCAACAAUAAGUAACAUACAUAUAGAUAACAUAUCAUUACACGGUGAAGAAUACCCGUUCAAUUAUUACAAGUAGUUUCCAUGUACUUACGCUUUGUUUUUUUAAAAAUACAUUUCGUGUAGGGUUAUUAAUGACAAUAAAUGGUGUCUUUGGUCCAAAAGGUAGUACCAAUUUGCAAGGAUACAUAUUUUGUCAAAGGUUCCGACUUAAAGAUGCAUCUUAAUGUCCAAAAAUAUUAAUUUGUCAUAUUUUAUUGAAAAUGUCAACACAAAAUUUCAUCUACACCUGUUAGCGCCAUUUAGUGACUAUUACGGGCUAUGUAUAUGAUAAUUUAAUCUAACAAUGCACGUGCACUAACUUUAUAUGUGCUCUGUGUAACAAAUUUGUGAACUACGAAAGCUAUUCUUGGGUCCAAACGUGAACAUGUAUGGACCCCAUACUGGGUCCAAAUUCAUAUAUGCUCUGUUGUAUGGAUCCCAUACUUUUUUAUGUGCUCUGUUGUAACUUUAUAUGUGCGCUUUGUAACAAAUAUUGAACUAUGAAAGCUAUUCUUCGUCCCUAAUUUUAUGGGGAGACAUGUAUGGACCCCACACUGCAAUGUGUUCGUCAUCCAAAUUCAACAACAGGUACACUUAUGUACAUAUGAUGACUAUCAAUUUAAAAGUUUCAAUAAUCUACACAAGGUUAAUAUAGUCCUUCUCAAUAUACCCCAAAACAUAAUCUACACCAAUCCAAAAGCUACAUUAGACACAUGACAAUGUAUAAAUGGGAGAAGAUCCAAUUUUGUCAAACUACAGUCACAUCUGACUUCAUGAAAUUCAUGCAUUACCAACAUUCAAUUGCACCCAUUUUAGUACUUGCAGGUUUGCAAAGCUGUCCGAAAACUUAGAGUUCUCCGCUGAGGUACACAAUCGAGCUGUGUACAACACUCGAUACUUGCCAACAUUUUCCUUUCCAAUUUAAACGUAAUAAGUAUUUUCAAAAGCAAAGGCAACAACUAUAAUGUGAGAACCCGUGGAUUUUCUUAUUUUCUAGAUUUUAUUUUAUUUAAUUGCACGCUUUUCUGUAUUUUCUUUAUUAGAAAAAUUUUCUAGAUAAUUUUUAUGAGUAAAUAUAGUUUUUAGAUGAUUUUUCUAGUAUCGGUUAGUUUUUGAGAAAUUAAGAGCGUAUACCGGACGUGGGACCCACUAGUGCGGUAAGUUUGAUAAAAUUCGGCCAAUUAGGUUAAGUUCAUUUGUCUUAUAAGAAGGUUGGAAAAAAAUAAGAAUUAAUUCUAGCCACAAGUUUGGUUAACACUUGGUUGAAUCACAACCACACAAUUUUCUCUCUCUUGUUGCAUUUUGAACCACUAAUUUUCGGCCAAUAAGAAGCUAAGAGGGGGGAAGAUAUUUUGCUCUAUUAGUGGUAAACUUGCAUGGCAAGUAAGUGGUGGUUAAUUGGUGCGUUCAAUCGGUAAUGCGCGGGACCCGCCGGUUCGCGCCGUUUUUUCUUAAAACACACGUUACUAGGGUUUUUUAACAUGUUCGCAUAUUCACUAAUCUUAUCUUAUUUGCUCCUAAUUACAGUACAUAUUUAUUAUCUCAGCUUUAAAAGUCAACUUUUUAUCACCACCAAAUUUGAUACCUUUUUUUGUUUUCCGUAUCCAAAAAUUUCAUUCCGCGGCGAAAAAUCAACAAAAACCUGCUAAUUUUGGCUCCAAUGCUGAUAAACGCGAAGAGUGAAACCCUACGCCUACUUUCUUCUAGGGCUGACAGAUUGCACUUAUUAAAUGGAAUAAUUGGAUAGUAGGGCUUUAAAUCUUAAUCCCUACAUAGGGUUUUCGAAAUACUCCUAAAACCAAACGUUACCGCCCAGCUAAUGAAUAUAUCAACGUAGAACGGACUGGGGCCUCACAAUUGGUUCGCCCUUGGGAGAAGUGGGGUCGUCACAGUUGGUAUCAGAGCUUAGGCUUCAGAUCUCUGUAGUGUAUCCUAGGCUUGAAGUUUAGGAUGCCGGACUGUGGGAUUUGAUUUGAUAUGAAUGUUAAGUAAUUGAGGGAUAAAAUAUAUAGCUGCUUCGCGUGGUCUCUGCGCGGAGUGAGCCUGGACUAAGUGGUGAAUAAAUAUGAAGGACUAAGUGCUCGUUCGAGCAUAAGCUAUGAAUUGCAAAUGUUAUGGGCCUUUAUCUUUUCCGUGGUAUUUGAGGAUCAUAAAUAGGUACGUCGGGUAGGAAUUUCGAUUGUAGAUAGUUUACUCUUGGGACUGGCCAGCUCGAGAUGUGAAUUAUCUUAUUUCGGAUUCUCGUGCCCGAGUACUCUAAAGUUGAGGCAGCGUUAAGUACUUGAAAUUUCAUUUUGGAAACAUGAACAGGCUUUGUCUGACUAGAAUGAGCACAAGAGGUCAAUGGACGUCUAGUUUGGAUAGAAAGUAACGUGAUAGAUCGGACGGGGUUAUUUAUUUGAGACUGGGACGAUUUCACCUUUUCUUUUGACUCGCCCGUAUAUAGUUACUACAUGAUGUUAGUAUGUGUGUGUGUGUGUACAUGGUUAUCUGUCCAAUUUGAUAUGUAUUUGUGUAAUUGAUUAUCUGUCUCCUUAAUAUGGCGUGUUAUGUGCGUAUAAGUUUAUUUGCGUAUUUCAUUUAUUAAAGUACCCUUUGGAAGAAAAAAAAACAUAGAGGGAAGACGUAGUCGCGGACAUGGUCGUGGCCGUGGAGCCAAGCGGGGCCAAGAGUCAAGAAAAAGGGGAAACAACCACUGAACAAAACCAGGGACCGAGAGUGUCAUUGGUAUUUAGGAAUUUAUUAUGACCCAUUGUUUUGGCCAGCAGGCUACUAUCGAAGGUCCAGCAACUCCGUGAGAUGGCACAUUGGGUCGAGAUGUAUAAGGAAAUCGCAGUUCUUCGAGACGAAAUAGAGGUCCAAAGGAGACUAGCCGCAUACUGGGAAGGGCGAUGGAAGCACGAGUAUUCAGAAAAGAUUGAGCUCUUGCACCAGAACUUGGAGCUAAAAAGGAAAUACGAAGGGAUUUCUGAGGAGGCCUUAACAAUGGCACAAAACACUACUGCUAUGGGGUUUCCAGAGGAAGCUCAAAGGACAGGAAUUGCAAGGCCACAAGUAAAUAUCUUCCAUGCAAAGAAAAGAGGUAAAAGGCCAGAACAGUGUAAGCGAGGUAGGCCAGUCGCUAAGAAGGGUCGUGGAGUAAGGGGUGUGAAAAUUUUGGAGACACUUAAGGAGGAUACUCCGGGAGGAAACCCAAGUGGAGAAGGACCACUGCAUGAUGUCUCACAAGAGGAUCAGACCCCAAUCGCUCUCUCAUUUUGUGGCUACUGUAGAAAAUCCAACCAUAUGGAGGUGGAUUGCUGGAAAAAGGAUGGAAGGUGUCUGCGUUGCGGGAGCACCGAGCAUCGGAUUGCUAAUUGCCCUAGUUUAUUGCGUGAAAAGAAAGGAACCCAGCAGCCAACCCAGACCGACCCUGGACCGUCAAAUAGAGAAGGGACUGGAAUGAAAAGCCUCGUUUCUUCUGAGGAUGAAGAAGGUACAGGCCACUGGUUACUUUAGAUUCGAUAGGUUCCGUUCAUAGAAAAAUUUCGAGGACGAAAUUGUUCUAAGUGGGGGAGAUUGUGAGGCCCCAGUCCGUUCUACGUUGAUAUAUUCAUUAGCUGGGCGGUAACGUUUGGUUUUAGGAGUAUUUCGAAAACCCUAUGUAGGGAUUAAGAUUUAAAGCCCUACUAUCCAAUUAUUCCAUAAUAAGUGCAAGUGAGCCUAGAAAGUAGGGUUUCACUCUUCGGUUUCAGCAUUGGAGCAAAAUUAGGGUUUUUGUGAUUUUCGCCGGAUGAAAUUUUGGUACGGAAAAAGGAUCAAAUUUGGUGAUUAAAAGUGACUUUUAAGUGAGAAAUAAUAUGUAAUUAGGAGCAAUAAGAUAAGAUUAGUGAAUAGGAAGUAAAAACCCUAGUACGUGUGUUUUAAGAAAAAACGGCGCGAACCGGCGGGUCCCGCGCAUUACCGAUUGAACGCACCAAUUGACCACCACUUACUUGCCAUGCAAGUUUACCACUAAUAGAGCAAAAUAUCUUCCCCCCUCUUAGCUUCUUAUUGGCCGAAAAUUAGUGGUUCAAAAUGCAACAAGAGAGAGAAAAUUGUGUGGUUGUGAUUCAACCAAGUGUUAACCAAACUUGUGGCUAGAAUUAAUUCUUAUUUUUUUCCAACCUUCUUAUAAGACAAAUGAAGCUUAAUCUUCCUCAUUCUUUUCUCUCUCUUGGCCGAAAUUCUCUCCAAAGGAAGAAAGAAAAAUCUCUCUCAAUUCCUUGUCCUAAUCUUGCUCAAUCUCAUAAACUAACCGGUUAAUCUUGAAUUCCUUCCAUAAAACCUCUUCAUUUGGUAUUAGUAAGUUGAUUGGUGAAGUGUUUGUGGAAGCUAAGGUGACAAGCAACUCCCUCUCUCUUGUUUUACUAGGUGAGUAAUGAAUGAACUCUCUCCUUCACCUAAUGAAGCUUAAUUCAUGCUUAGUGGUGUUAAGAGAUGAAAAAUUAUGGUUUAUAUCUUGAUUUGUGGAUGAUUUAGUGAAGUUUUAUAUUUAUUGGGAUUUUUCCUGUUUUAAUAUAAGCAUGAUUGUGUGGUUAUAUAUGAUGGUUGGAAAUGGUAUGUAAUGAUGCUAGAUGGUGGAAAAAGUGGAAGAUUGCAAGUGAUUUCUGUUUUGAAUGAAAUCUGGAAAAUUGGGGUUUCUUGGUUCUUCAUUCUGUCCGAAUAUUUUGGUCCUAGAUAGAGGCCGAAUUGGCCUUGGCUUAAAACAUGAAAGUUGUAGGAAAUGACAUUUUAUAGGUGCCUGUAAAAUUUCAGGUCAAACGGAUUAAUGUAUUCCGAGUUAUAGACAAAACCCUCAGACCUGUUUUAGACGUCCGUUUUGUACGUUUUGCAUUUCAGUUUCUGCCGUGCAUUUUUCCGUUCUGAUUCCAUACGAUCUGGGUGUCGACUCCUUCAUAAGAAAUUUAUAUCUUGGUCUCAGCUUCGAAACGGUAUAAAGUACGUCGACAACCGAGUUCCGUAGCUCCUGUUAUGAUCAAAACAAUAACGCUGGUCAGAACUGCCUUGUAUUUGGACAGUUCUGACGGGUACGUUGACACUCGAUAUUCGUUCUGUUCUGAGUGGAUUCAGGUCUUGACCAAAACAUCAAAGUUUUAGCCUUAUGUCUCAGCUUUCUAACGCCUUUGGAAUUUCUUGAUUUCGAUUUCUGAGCCGUGAGUUACGGCCUUGCAAACAGGGCAUGUUUGGUAACUUGCCAUGAAACAGCUGGCACUAUUUCGUGCCUUUUUGACCUAUACCUAUUGAGAUCUGGGUUGAGAUGUCUUCAUGAGAAUUUUAGCCCUUCCUCUUAGCUUCGAAACGGUAUCUCGUUCACCUUGAUCCGACACUCCUAGCCUAACUUUCGACCAAAACGGUUUAAGAUGGCCGAUUUGGCCGUCCCGUUUGCCGUUCCGCGCGCGCGCGUGUGCCCCUUUUUGCCGUUUUCGCACUUGCGCGUGCCAAUUUUGCCGUUUUGCUUGUUUUACGUGUGUGAGUAGCUGUUUGUGAUAUAUUGUGACACAAUCUUCGAUUUCAGACGGUGGUGAACUAGGCGAAACCGGUGGGGCCCACUACUAGCCAACCAACGAAGUGAUUUCCGCUUUUGUACUACUUUUGUAUUUGGAGUAAGUAUUCAGGCCGCUUUUGUAUGUUAGUUGCUUAUGUGUUUCGAUAUGUAUGAAGAGGGUACUUAGACGAGGGUGUACUUUAUCGCACUCGCUCUAAACCCUAAUUUGCACACAUAUUUGUACAUGGCUUAUGUAUAUGAGCAAUUUUGGAACUAAAACCCUUGAGCUGGUGGCUCAGGGUGACUUUUGAAUAAUUUUGUGAAUUUUGUGAGUUUGAGGUUGAACUCAAUACCUAGAUGGACUAUUCGAGCCGGUUAGGGCUUGGUCGAAGUCAGUCCAACUUGGUUUGAGGUCACCAAGUUUGUGAACCCGGUUCGCUGAGUAUGUGAACCAAUUUUGUGACCCGAGCUUGUGACUCAAGCUCAAGUUUGUGAUUUCGUUCGCCUGGGCAAGUUUGUGAGGUGACUGGCCAGUGAGGGUGAUAAGGUGUUCGGUGGGUGUACAAGUGGAGUUCUACGGACCUUAUGUAUGGUCGACGGAGUGUCGACAGGAGGUCACGCAUGGCAACGACUUGGCUUUGGAGCCACCUGUAUCCUUAUUAUGUGAUGUUACUUUUCUGCUUUUGCUUUACUCUUAUUGAGUAACUGUGGUUACGUGACAUUUACGCUUUUGCCCCUGUUUACUUACUAAGCAUAUAGCUUACCCCGUUCCUUUUGUUUUCCUUAGCAGGGGCCGACGCGGGGACUUAUGGGCACUUACACUAGUAUUGGUUUGUCAUAGUUGGACAAUUAGGAUGUUUGUUUUUAUUGUGGUGGUUUGUAUAAGGACCCUCCUUAGGGUCUACCUUUUAGUUUUGGUUGUAAUUAUAAGGGUGUAAUAGUUUGAACAGGUACUUUUGGAGAAUGUAAUUAUAACCUUUUUGGGAUUUGUAUAUAGUAUGUAAGGUACUCUUUUGGAUUUUCUGGUUUUUAUCGCUUUAAGGUUUGAGUCCUGGCGCGAGCUAGGCAGGCGGCCCGCCGAUACCCUUGGGUUCGCCCUUGGGAGAAGUGGGGUCGUCACAUAGCAGACCAAGGUAACGUGACUAAACCAUGUCAGUAAUUGUGACCAAUAAUUUGUCACCCAAAUGCAUAUCUGUUAAAUAAAGGAUGAAAUUAGAGUCACUGAAAACAUAAUAUGAAAAUGAUAGAAGAAUAGUGAAGUUGUACUGUAUUUGUAUGUGUGUACCGUAUCUGUGUGUGUGUGAGCAUUCAGCUUUUCGGUGAUGGACUAUAAUGGGAUAGUAGUUUUUGGAAGACCUAGGGGUAUGUAUUCAAGUAAACCGUCGAACGGAAUUAGGGAAAGAUGAGAGAAACAAAGUCAUAUUUAACAAGUGAAUGAAUGUACAUCCUGUUGUAAAUUAGUUACAUGUUAUAGCCACCGUAUUACAAUUGAUAUGAAUCAUUGUGCAUCUAAUAGUUGGUCCAUGCUCAUAGGGCAAUAUUAGUUUGCCCCUCUCCUGACCAUGCAGUGUGUAUAAAAUGGAGGCGUAGAGUUGAAUGAGGUGAAACAGAGGAAAAGACAUAUAUGUGAAUAAUAAAUUGGUGAACCUUGUGUUAUAAGUAAAUUACAUGAUGUAAGAAAUAUAUUACAAUGAGUAGAAAGUGCUUGUUUGGCCCUCAAAAUGUAGAAAUAGUAGAAAAUGCGGAGUUGGCUUAUGCGGUAUUCAUUAACGAAUCAAAAUAUAAGGUCCAGUGAGCUAAAGAACCUAGAAUCAAAAUAUAAUCACCAGCAUGGAUGUACAUACAGUUAAAAUAGACUUACAUCGUGUGAUCAAUACAUUACGGUCCGUAUAAGUUAUUGUACAUGGAGUUGUAUUUGUACAUAGAUAAUGCCGUUGUCUUAGAGUAAAAGUAAGGUGAUGUGAAUCAUUAAUCAUAUUGAUAAGCGUAAUAAUAGGAUUUAGUAUACGAGUAAUGUGUGAUUCAUAACACAUUAUGAAUGGUAAUAUACAUUUAUGUUGUCAUUUAUGUACAUACUAUUCAUGAAGUGUUGCAAAUUAGGGUGUUUGAUGCAUAAUUGGUAGGAGCAGAAGUAAUGGAUUGCAGCAAAUUGGCAGAAGAUGGGACUCCUGAGUUAGGAAUGGAGUUCAGCAGUGAAGAGGAUGCAUAGAAGUUUUACAACAAGUAUGCCUUUAAAAUGAGUUUUAGUGUACGUAAAGACUAUCUAAAUAAUGACAAAGACGGCGUGACCACGUCUAGGAGAUAUAGUUGCUGCAAGGAAGGUGUGAAGCGCAAGUACGAAGGUGAUGUGAUGCCAAAGAGGACACGAGUGCCGACGAAAACAGGGUAUGGAGCUAAAAUGGUUAUCGUGUUGCUUAGAGGGACAAUGAAGUACCGUGUGCAUGACCUUGUUUUAGAGCAUAACCAUGAGUUGCACAUUGCUCAAUGUGCGCACAUGAUACCAUCACAAAGAAAAGUGAGUGUGGCUCAAGGAUUCCAAGCUGAAAUAAGCGAAGAUGCUGGGAUUUCAUUGAAACAGAGCCAUGAGCUUAUGGGAAAGGAGGCAGGUGGGAUGAGCAAUGUGGGAUAUACUCGGGAUAAUCUUAAACGAUAUCUUCGAACGAGAUGGGAAAGGAGCUUGAAAUAUGGAGAAGCAGAUAGUAUGCUGAAUUAUUUUCAAGAGCAAACACUUGAGAAUCCAUCCUUUUUUCAUGCCGUACAGCUGGACUGUGAAGAACAGAUAACGAAUAUCUUUUGGGCUGAUGCAGGAAUGUUAAUUAACUACAACUUUUUUGGAGACGUAGUCACAUUCGACACAACCUACAAAACAAAUAAAGAAUACCGGCCACUUGGAGUAUUUGUGGGUUUUAACCAACAUAGGCAAAUUGUGAUAUUCGGUGCUGCCCUUAUGUAUGAUGAGACGAUAGAUUCUUUCAAAUGGGUGUUUGGUACAUUUCUAGAAGCAAUGUGCAGAAAGCGUCCAAGCACCAUACUAACAGACCAAGAUCACGCCAUGGCAGCCGCUUUUUCACUUGUCAUGCCCCAAACGUUUCACGGUCUAUGUACGUUUCAUAUAAGACGUAAUUUUAUGAAACAUCUUGGCAAUCACUACAAGGAAAGUAGUGACCUUCCAUACAUGUUUGGUGCCUGCAUGUAUGAGAUUGAAGAAGUUGAACAAUUCAACAGGGUGUGGGAGGCGAUGGUGAAGAAACACAAUCUUGAAAAUAAUGAAUGGCUUUCCGGGCUGUAUCGAAUUCGUGAUAAGUGGGCAAGGUGUAUGAUGAAAGAAAGAUGGACCGCGGGAAUACAAAGCAUCCAACUUAGCGAAAGCCUAAAUGCAGCAAUUAAAAAUUAUUUGAAACUGGAUCACGACCUUGUGCAGUUCUUUAGACAUUUCAAUCGGGUGGUUGAUGAUAAGAGACAUAAUGAACUCAUCGUAGAAUAUGAAAUGAGGCAAAAGCUCCCCAUGGUUGGGUUGAGGCAAACACCUAUGCUUGUGCAUGCUGCAGAUACAUAUUCACCAACCGUAUUUGUUGCAUUCCAAAAUGAAUAUGGCGAGUCCACAGCUAUGGUUAUAUUGAAAUGACAAAAUGCAGGGAUGUUUGUGGAGUUUGCUGUCAUGAGAUAUGAUGGAGGACCUGAAAGAAUAGUGGUAUUCAAUAGGAAUGAUCUAAGUGUACGCUGUAGUUGCAAAAAAUACGAGAAUGAAGGAAUUUUGUGUGGGCACGCGUUGAAGGUAUUUGAUACCGUGGGCAUAAAGACAAUUCCUCCUGAAUACGUUAAGAGGCGAUGGACAAAAAGAGCUCGGACUGGAGACUGUUUUGAUCGGCGAGGACGGGAAAUUAUGGCUGAUCCAAAAGCAAUCAUUUCAACUCGUUAUCGGGAACUCGCUCCAGCCAUGAUUAAGGUCGCAACUCGAGCAGCAAUGUCGGAGGACACCAGCAAAGUAGUAAUCACCGUCAUAUCCGUUUUGGCAAAGAGAGUUGAGCUCCUCCUCUCAGAAAAUGAAGAGCAACCUUCGCAAAAUCAUAAAAAUCUGAAUGUAGAGGAACGUGAUAAAAUUGAAAUUGUAAAUGAAAUGGGAGAGGUAGUAGUCGCAAGAGGCAUUAAAAAACGAGCCGGUGGGAAGAGAAAUAGAGUGAUGCGAAGUUGUGUCGAUAAAUUUGACAGAGUAAAAAGAAAUUCUAGAUUGUCAAGGACUACACAGACUACGGUAUGGAUCCAUUUUUUUUUAUGGUAAACAUUUAUGAUAAAACAUUCUUAUUAUAUUUCCGUUAACUCAAGUUUAGGUACCAUUCACUAUGAAGUAACAUUAUUGUCGUGUCAAUAAUACAGGUCUCAGAAUCGGAGCCGACGUCACUUGAAUUUGAUGAACACAUGUUUUUGGGAUGCCGUUCAUCUACUGACUCUGUUUCGGUUAGUAUAAAAUGGUCAUGGCUUUAGCUUUUAUUUAGAUGUUUCUAAUAGCAUAAUUAGUUACAUCGAUGUUACAUUAUGUGAUAAUUUUGUUACGCCCGUCAUCCCUCCUGAUAUACCUAUUUUGUUUGUCUUAUACAAUUAUUUGACCAUUCUAAACUCAUAGACGCAUUCAAGGAGCCAGUCGGUGAAUGGCUCUCCAAACGCUGUUGCUCCCGAAAUCGAGGAAAGUGAAAUGGUAUGCAUACAUUUAGUAGGAAAAAUAAAGACUUUGUUAUUCGUAUCGUACAACUACUUUUUUGCUUAUUGUAAUGGUGGGCACCUAAACGCUUCAAAGCAUGUCUAUUAUGUAGUUAACGUAUGAUCGCUUCUAUAACAAAUUAUUUUGUAUUAUCCGAAGGUCCUCCGGUUGCCUAAUCAGGGGCUUCCUGCAACAGUCCCCUACAGAAUGGAUCCACCCUAAAUUUUCUAUUUUUUCCAAGCAUAACUCCGUCAGAGAUAUCUUAAUGGUCUGAUAUAUCAUUUUUUUUUAUAUUGUCUUGUCCAAUUUAGCUUUUGAAGUGAGCAAUAUAGGCACUGGUAAUGAUUUGUUGAUAGUUGAAUAGUUAUAUUAUAUAAUGUAGGAGGAGCGUGCGGCAAUUUCAAUACACCGUGACAUUGAUGCAUAUCAUGUAUUUUCACCAUCACCACAGGUGACAAACUUUUAUCGUUACAUCACAUGUUUAUGUAGUAUUGUUAAUUGGAUACUUGGACACCGUAUAUUAUUAAUCGUAUGUUCCAUUAGGUGUAUUGGCUGAUUUGCCAUCGUUAUGCAUUUCAGGAAAUAAACAACACCCAGAGUUUGCAACUAGCUGUUGGCGUCGCCCCCCGCAGAAGUAGGUUGAUGAAUGAUGUGUACGUCUAAUUUUUUAAUGACACAUUAAGUGGUUGACCAAACUAUUGAGUUCCAAUUAUUCAUUCACCAAGUCAACCUCAUUUAUUGAUGUUAGUACUUCUCUGUUGAAGAUAUUGUUCAGUUUCAAUCGCUUCCAUAUUGUCAGUUUCUUUUAAUCUACAAUUUUGAAAUGAAUUAGUGCAUGUUGACUGUAACUGACUAGAUUUUUUUUUAUUUUCAUACAUUAGUUGUCCUGAACGAGAUUUGCGGUGUUUUUCGACGAACAUUUGUUAUUGGACCUCCAUGUCGGCAAUGUUGGGAAUGCUGCAUAUCUACGUUACAAGCACUUAAUAAGCUGUUACAAGUUAUUCAUGUGCCUGUACAGGGACCUUCAAUGUUUCACUCUGUUCAAACUUAGACAAGUGGGUUACAAUUGUAUUAAUUUUCAGUAUUAGUAGUCAUCAAUUGUUCUGUAAUGGGUUGUAUAAGUUGUUAAGAAAUUAUAAAGUCGACCGAAAAUUAGAGUAACAAUUUUUGCAAUACGAUUGAACGUUCUUCUUUAUGAUUAUGGUAUUUUUCAUAGAAUACCAUAACAAAUGGCUGUCGUGAUAUAUAUAGUAUUGUCCAACAGUCAGCUCCAAUUGUAAAUAACAUCUUUAUUGGCAUGGAUGGCACUUAGAAUGGUUAUAUGUAUCAUAUAGCAAUCGGCCUUAACAAAUUGUUAUUAUUUUGUUACGACGCCUUGGUGAAUUAUUAUGUGUCAUUUAGUCACCAAAAAUUUUUCAUAAUUCACUACAUAUGGGUUACAUUUUCAGAAUGAACGGUUCGCACCAUUGACAUAAUGUAUUACAGGCAUUUCAAUAGGUAUUACAAGAAUCUUCCUAAUUUAAUUAUGAUCAAAUAACCACGCGACCACAAUAAGGUAAUAGUUGCGCAGAAGAAAAUGAUAGUGUGAGGGGACAACUAAUUUCGUUUGUCAAAACUAAGUUUUAUAAUGCAACAAAUAUUCAUAACGAAGAGUACAGAAUGAGUUACAAGCAAUUAGUUGUAUGUUACAAUAGGUUAGAACUAGUACAAGGAUCUUUAAUAGGCAUGAUUAAUAUGCAAAUAGGGGGCAAAAAGUUAAAGUGGAGAUUAUAAUGAUUAAACUUUGUCUUGCUACCUUCACGAACAUCCGACUACAUCUGUGACAGCCCCACUUUCCCCUAAGGCGAACCAAAAAGAUUAGCGGACUGCCUGCCCAACUCUCGCCAGGACUAACGGUGCAGGCAAACACGAUCUAAGACGUUUCAGAAAAAUAAUAUGCGCUCACACAAGCCGAAAUCGCAAAAUAGCAAAAUGCAAAUCAAAUCGUCGGUGAAUAGUGGGUGCCAUGUCAUAUAACUCGGAAAAACAUUCCCAACUAAAUAGGACACAUAAACGAUAUUUAAACAGUGUUAUACACAUACGUUUGUAAAUUUACAAAUACAAAAGGGAGAUAAUUGGAUCAAAAUACAUUUAGGGUUUUGCCCAAAAGGAGCUAUUCAAAUUACAUUCACAUAAGCUCAACUCGGCAACCAACAUUCAUAGCCUUUCCGAAAGUAUUCAAAAUCCUGUAAGGAAAACAAAAGGAAUAGAGUGAGUUUACGCCCAGUGAGACACUACCACUCAAGCAACGAAGAUCAUAUAAGCAGAUAGCAUUUCAUUCCAAUUCAUCUAAUAAAAGUAAGCCAAGAGUACACAUCAAUAAAGUUGGUAAAAGGAUACAGACGGCUCUCAAGAGCCCCUUUCCUUGCUUGUAUACUUGAUCGGACUUCAUUGACCCUUCGUCAAUGUUUUCGAGUAACCAACCAUAGGCUCCACUUUACUUCCAUUCCUUUCACCCAACAUACCCCUACCGGGCCCGAACUCCAUACAGUACAAAUUUGGUAAUACUCGAGUAUACCGGAAUCGAGAGUCUCAUACUACAAGAUUCCAUAUAACAGUCCCCAUGGCUCGUCAAUUUUCACGACCAAACCCUUGCCGGCUCGAUUCAAUUGACCACCAAUAGGGUUGAGCUCAGUGAUAACAGUAAGGCCGUUGGAUACUCGUCCAUACGACACCAAUUCAAGUAUUUGCAUGUAUCAUUCAAUUUCACGGUAAACAGUCAUAUAUAAUACAAAAGGGGUGAGAGCGGUCAAGUACACCCUCACUUUAAUCAGUUUCAACAGUGCAAAUAAGCAUUCAAGGCAUCCAGUUCAAAUAGACAAAGCCACACAGUAACAAGCAAGUGAGUAGUACACUCACCAAGCAAGCAAGUGAAAUUUCGUAAACUUCCGCCCAAAGAGCGUCUUUACUCACCGUCACGCCCUAAAAUAUUCAAAUAAGCACAAUAAGACUCGAUUACAAGUCAUAAACCAAUUUCACAUACUACCAAAAUAAGGUUCCAUUAGAAUGUAUAAGUACUAAAGUAAGCUAGGGGAAUCCGGGAAUGAAGUUGAGUUCUAAACCCCAAAAAAUAGUUUUUGACAUCAUUUAGCGGUUUUGCCACCAUUGGCACUACGAUUAUCGGAUGGAGGUGAAAUAUACACCAUUUCGAAGCUAACAGAUAGGGCUACAAUGUUAUAGAAGGUCACUCAGCCCAGUUUGUAGUGAAACUAGGUCAAAAGUUCAGUAUACUAAACCAGAACCGCAAAAAUAGGUGAACAAACCGCAUUCUGGUUAACGAACCGCAAUUCAGGUUACCUAAGUCCAAAUCAAGUGAUUCCAAAGCCAUCCAAAAACUAAGACACCAGGAUACAUUUAUUAAGAAGACAUUAACAACCAAAUCAGAAGUAUUCUCAAUCAAAUUAACCAAUUACAGAAGCAAUUAUUAAGUUUGGGUAGAAACAGGGCAGCAAGGGUAUUUCAGUCUUUUUAUAAGCUACGCUACUCCGAUUAGCCUGAAAUUUUUCAGGAAUCUCUAAAAUAUCAUUCCCUACAACUUUCAUGUUUUAACCCAAGGCUAAUUCGGCCUCUAACUAUGAUGAACAGUACCAGGCAGAAAGGGGGUAAUCGAAACCCUAACUUCCGAAAUUUCCGUUCAAUGCGGAAAUUUUCCGCAAAUAACUACAAUUGACACACUAAGGUUUCAUUCCAGAUCAUUUCCAAUCAUCAUCCAUGGCCACAACAUAUGAAUCAUAUUAAAUCAGAAAAAUCAUGAUUAAAUAGAAAAUGUCAUCAAUCUCAACCAAAAUCAUGAAAUAACACCUAAUCUCAUCCCUUAGGCUACCACAAGUCAUUAAUUAAACAUCAUUAGAUAGAUGAGAGGGGUUCCUUCACUACUCACCUUAGUAACCAAAGAAAAGAGACCACUUAGCACCUUAAGCUUCCAAACAACUUCACUAACCACCUCACACCCACUCACUUUAGGGUUUUUAUGGAGUAAAAGCAAGAUUAAACGGUUGGUGUGUUGAAUUUGAGCAAGAUUGGAGCAAGAAUUUGGAGAACUUUUCCCUUUCUUUUUGUUUGGAGUGGCCGGCCACAAGAAGCUUGGAAAUGAAGAGUUUUUGGUCAAUUUUUUGGUUUAUUUAGUAAAAUGGUAAAAAGGUGAAUAGUAGUCAAAAUGCAAGAUUUAAUCAUAUGGUGACACUUGUCACCCUAUUUAAUGCAUGCAUAUCACUUUGUUUCCUCUCACACCAAUCCACUUGGUAAUCUCUAAUUAUCUCUUAGCACCCGAUAAUUUAAACCCAGUAUCCAAAACUUAACCUAGUUGGCCGAAUUUUUCCGAACUUUCCGCACUAGCGGGUCCCACGUCCAGUAUACGCUCUUAAUUUCUCAAAAACUAACCGAUACUAGAAAAAUCAUCUAAAACCUAUAUUUACUCAUAAAAAUUAUCAAAAAAAUUUUCCUAAUAAAGAAAAGGCCAAAAACAUGCCAAUACAGAGAAUAAAACCUAGAAAAUGAGAAAAUUACGGGUUCUCACUACAUCUCUUGUCAUCUGUCGUAUGCCAUACAACACCUGGGAAUGCCGUCAUGUAUUAGACAAUCGGGUAUGUACCUCUGAAAGUCAUCGUCGCUUAAUUCAGUAAAGUCAGAUAGGUCCGGGUCGGAUAUAAGCAUGGGAUCUGCUAAAAUGUUAUUGACAGCAAAAUCUUUUGCAAUAGCAUGUCUUUUUGCGGCCUCAAUCUCGUGAAACCUGUGUAGCCGGCGCUCUAUUUGCAUCACUUCUCACUGUAGUCUAUGUACUACGCUUGCAUCAUUCACUUCUGGUCCUAUAACAAGUUCCGCCGAGCGUGUUCUCGGGACGCGGAGGCUAUGCUAGCGACAAAAUACCUCUAGUUUCAUUCUUCGCUCACGAAUAGGCUCCCAUAUGGGUUCAUGUUCCAUAAUGUAAUUACCAGAGGGUAGGUGCUCGUGGACACUAUCUUUGAAAAUGUGGCCAGUUAGUUCCAGAGAGUUGUUGGUGUUAAGUGGAGCUUUCCUGAAAUCGCAUUUGGUACCAUAUAAAAUUCUCCCAUCUGGUGUUUCGUACCUCCUUAGAGCAUUGGUUGGACCCGACGAUACCUUCCGUCUUUUUUUCCGAACCUUUGAUCGUGAGCUUUCAUGAGAUCUUUCGAAAUUUGGUUGCAUGACUAUGCUAAGACCCACUAUUGUUUGGAUGGAGGAAAGGAACGAUGGUCUGCCAAAAUAUUGGGGAGGAGGAGGAGAUAACAAAGAGGUAUAAAUUUGGAUGGCAGAUGGUGGGUAUAACGUUUAAAUGUGUAUGUAUGUAAACAUAUUUAGUUAUUGUGUGAUAUAAAUAGCAACACAAUGUUAUUUAGUUAUUGUGUGAUAUCAAAGCGGAUGUCCGUGGCAUCAUAGUACACAUUUAUUUUGAACACCUUUAACAACUGUCAGGGUCUGUCAUUUUAUCCUGUUCUCCACGGGAUAGGACUGAGUGUUAGUUAUGUUUUGGAUCUCAAACUUUGAACGUUAUAACUAAGAACGUACAUAGUUGUAACUAAUAACGUAUGCAUUAUAACUAUAUAUGAACAGUAUGUGAUAUUACAACUUGUGAUAUUACAAUGUGCUACAACUACUGAUAUAACAACUAGAUAAAAUAUGAUGAACCUUUGCCAUUCUCUUGUUUGUGCCAUAGCCCCUGGCCCAAACAAUAAUAACUCCCCCAGACAUAUUAAAUUUCGCAGACACUUACAAAAGUGUCUACUGAGAACAUAUAGAUGACCGUUUCGAACCCCAAAACAAUUGAUGUAGCAAGGCCUUCUCGAAUAUCUCAUUAAAUUAGCGAGAUCUUCUCGAACAUCAUGCAACCCAUUGGCUGCUAUUUGGCUUCCAAGAACUUGAUUUCUGUGUGAACACUCUAUUGAUGACACUGCAAGUGACAUUGGAGGGGGCUUGAAGACUACUAAUAACAAAUUUCAUAUUUGAGUUCAUUGCCACCGUUCAGUUGUAUGAAACGAGAAGUGUGAAGUGGAAUAUAGUGGAAAGUGUAAACAAUAUUAAAAGGGGGACGAACAAACUUUUGUUGUUGAGGGAUGUAAAACUGCAACCGCGCCCUUUUAUAGUCCGCAGGACCCUCGCAAUGUGCUAAAAUAUCGGGGCCCAACGCAUUCCAGGCCAACAAUUUCGUCCCAAAUAUGGAAGCUGUAGAGUCACAUGCAGCUGGUGAACUAUUUCAAAUCAAUUCAGACAAUAAAACAAAUUUUGCAGCUUUUAUGAUGUUCUGGUCCUGUACACCAACUUCAUGGGUCACGUGGAUACAGAGUUACACAUUGGAUUCAUGUACGUUUCACUAUGUGCAUACACAGUUACACUCUACACGUAGGUAAGAAAGCCCAAAACAACAGUUUCUUGGCCAAGAGUCAGAUGUGUAACACUCUAUGGCCUUGGUCAGUGUAUGACCCAAAUUUACUACCUCUGCGAGCGAUUCGUACCUCCUUCUGGUUCAAUACUCUAUAGGGGAUUUCAAAUUCGACCAGAAAUUUUAUGAAUGUUGUAACUAAGAACGAACAAAUCUGUAAGUAGUAAUGUUCGAAUUGUAACAAUAUAUGAACAAUUUGCGAAUCACUUCGAAAAAACGUUAGACAAUAUUUUUAGUACCGAUACUCUUGAUAAGUGUUAAGUCGCGUUGCUAAUCAGCAUCAGACAAUGAAACAAAUUUGUUAGCUUUUAUCAUGAAAUGACUUGUACUCCAACAUUAAGGGUCAGACAUUAACUCUAAAAUUAGUGCUUCUUGACCGUAACUCUAAAAUUACUUCAGACAUUAGGUGUCUAGCAGCAGAUUUGCGGUCUGUAGCACUAGAUUUUUCAGACAUAGGGUGCCUAAUUGUAUUAAAGAUGAGUAUUACACUUUAGUAUUACAUUCACUUCAAUAGGUAUUACUCCUUUAGUACAGAAACAAAGUUACAAUUGGCGGCUUGGCUUGGUACCACACGACCACAUAAUAAGUAACAGUUUCGAAGAAUAACAUGAUACUUUGUUGGGACAACUAAUUUGAAAGUGGGGUAACUAAUAUUUAAAAUGGAACAAAUUGUCAUUGCGAGAUGUACAGAUUGAAUUACAACCGGUUAGGUGUAUGUUACAAUUUAUUACAACUAAUGAAUUCGCAAUUGACAGCUUCUCGUCUUCUCUAGUUAAAACUUGUGAUAUUACAACUAGAUAUUCCCCGAUGUUACAACUAGUGAUACUACAACUAAUUAACGUCCGAUGAACCUUUCUUCUUAUCUUGUUUGUGCAAUUGCGCUUGGCACAAACAAUAAUUCCUCCCCCCGACACAUUAAAUUCAUUAGACACAGUAUUAAGUGUCUAAUGAAAAUAUAGAGAUGCUCGUUUCGAACCCCAAAACAAUUGAUGUAGCGAGGCCUUCUCGAACAUCUCAUUAAAUUAGCGAGAUCUUCUCGAACAUCCUGCAACCCAUUGGCCGCUAUUUGGCUUCCAAGAACUUGAUUUCUGUGUGAACACUCUAUUGAUGACACUGCAAGAGACGUUGGAGGGGGCUUGAAGACUACUAAUAAUAAAUUUCAUCUCUUUCUUUUCAUUGCCACCCUUCAGCGGUAUGAAACGGGAAGUGUGAAGUGGAAUAUAGUGGAAAGUGUAACAAAUAUUGAAAGGGCGACGAACAAACUUGUGUUGUUGAGGGAUAUAAAAUUGCAACCGCGCCCUUUUAUAGUCCGCAGGACCCUCGCAAUGUGCUAAAAUAUCAGGGCCCAACGCAUUCCAGGCCAACAAUUUCAUCCCAAAUGUGGAAGCUAUAGAGUCACAUGCCGCUGGUGAACUAUUUCAAAUCAAUUUAGACAAUAAAACAAAUUUUGCAGCUUUUAUCAUGUUCUGGUCCUGUACGCCAACUUUAAGGGUCACGUGGAUACAGAGUUACACAUUGGAUUCAUGUACAUUUCACUGUGUGCAUACACAGUUACACUCUACACGUAGGUAAGAAAGCCCAAAACAACAGUUUCUUGGCCAAGAGUCAGAUGUGUAACACUCUAUGGCGUUGGUCAGUGUAUGACCCAAAUUUACUGCCUCUGUGAGCGAUUCGUACCUCCUUCUGCUCCAAUGCUCUAUAGGUCCUUUCAAAUUCGACUAGAAAUUUUAUGAAUGUUGUAACUCAGAACGAACAAAGCUGUAAGUAAGAACUUACGAAUUGUAACAAUAUAUGAACCGUUUGUCAAUCGUAUGGACAAAAUGUUGAACUAUAUUUUUAGUAUCGAUACUCUUGAUAAGUGUUAUGUUAUGUCACUAAUCAGCAUCAGAAAAUAAAACAAAUUUUACAGUUUUUAUCAUGAAAUGACCUGUACUGCAACAUUAAGGGUACCGGUGUGAAUACAGAGUUACACAUCAGUGACCUUAAUUUUGACAAUGUGCAUACACAGUGAUACGCAACACGUUGUGCACAAAGCCUCAUAAUGAAUGUCAGUUUCUUAGCCCAAAGUCAGAUGUGUAAAACUGAAUGGCCUUGGUCAUGUUAUGACCCAAAAUUAGUACCUGAACGAGCACCUCCUUCUGCUCCUGAUGCUCUAUUAGAGAAGUUCUUCUCGACCUUUAAUUUUAUGAAUGUUGUAACUUAGAACGAACAAAGCUGUAAGUAAGAAUGUAUGAAUUGUGACAAUUUACAAUUAAGGUAGCCAUUCAUGCAUCAUUAUACAAUUAAUAGCUUCAAUGCUGUAGGAGUCAUCAACACAGAACAAUUGAACAACACAAGUGAUUUCAGAUGAAAGAGCAAUCAUAUAACUUCACAAAAAACUUUCAAUGUGACUUCAACAGUUUCAUUCAACUAUACGACUGCAUCUACUGUUUACUCUAUCUUCUUGAUCAACUGCCAAAAUGGAAAGUCAACAGUACAAGGAAGUCAGCUACUUUGCCUAUAGAGGAUACAUCUCCGACAAACUACAGGCGAAGUUCGUAUCAUAUGGGUCGAAAAAUUGAAAGUGGUGUCAGCGAAAAAUUACUAUUAGGAGCAACAGAAUGGCGACCGCUACCGAUAUCGUCAUGAAGGUUUUCAUUUGUCGAAUAUCUUGUUCGAUUCGGUGCACAUGAUACGGGAAAGAGUUUGGUUCAUUUUGCACUGUUCCGGGACCGUCAAAGGAGCUUUCUCUGCUUAUUGCUUGUCGAUUAGGUGAGGGAGGGCAGUAGUUAGCCUGAACUUGCUCAGGACUUCUCCCUAUUGGAUGACACCAAGCAAAAAAAGCACAAAUUUUUCCUUCACAGACGAAGUACAGCAACCCCUUCGUUGGUUUCUGUGACUCCACGAUCUUCAGCCCAGCCCUUUUUUCGCAGUGAUAGUACCGAUAUUGGUACCUUAACUCAGUAGAUGCGCCACCAAUAUUGCUCGAUGAAGACAUUUGAACGAUCUAAAACUCCUUUGGGGCAUAUAAGCUGAAGUGUUUUAACCUUUUGAUGAAGUAGUGGUUGUGUGUCGAUCAGGAGCUAACACGGACCAACACAUAGGUGGGAGUUAAUAUGUGGCAAGAAAGGAUAUAAGCUGGUAACAUAAUUUUGGAGAAUUAGUAAGUAUGGAAUAAGUAACAUGUUUUUUGGAAACAAACACAAAAGCCGAAGUACACAUAAUGAAUAAAAAAUGUUGGGUGUACUUUUAUAGUAAUUAAUACAAAUUUUUGAAGUAAAUACUUGUUUGUUAGGUUAUGUGUUCGGGUCGAUAUUGUUUAAAAAUGCACAAGAUGUAACUUUACAUGUGCACUGUGUCUUUAGUCUAUAACUAGGACCAAGAGUGAUGUAUUUAGGUGACGGGAUUGAAAGCUGGUGAGUAACAUGCUUUUUUAUACAACUAUAUCCAUGUGAAUUCGGGUUGUUUAUGUACAAAGCGUAAUGGCACAAGUAGUACCGACACCUUUGAUGAGUGUUACGUCGACUUAUUAACCAGUUACGGAAGAUUGCAGCUUUUAUCGUCAAAGGAACUUAACAAUUAACUCAGCGGGUCAUGUGCUUUGAAUGAGGGUCCCUCCCUUUGUUGUUUCCAGCGUACAACUUGCCAAUUUUACAGUAUUUGGUGUAUAUUCAAAUGUUUGCACUUCAAUGCACACCUAUUGAUUAUUUUGUCACACACUUCAGGGUUGAUAAAAAUUAUAGAAAUUUUUAAAUAGUCGUCUUGGCUCCCUGGGUUUUAAUAUUUGAUGUACAAGUAGUUCACCUGUCUUUACUCCUUCUUUAAAGAAGUGAUACACCCAUGUAGUAAUGGUAGUUACUACAAUAAGCUUAGCAGUGGUCAAUUUAUUCGGGUAAGCACCUAUGAUGUCUCGGGUUGUUGAUUAGAUGUAAGUUUGGUCCUGCUUCAACAAUAAGUAACAUACAUAUAGAUAACAUAUCAUUACACGGGUGAAGAAUACCCGUUCAAUUAUUACAAGUAGUUUCCAUGUACUUACGCUUUGUUUUUUUAAAAAUACAUUUCGUGUAGGGUUAUUAAUGACAAUAAAUGGUGUCUUUGGUCCAAAAGGUAGUACCAAUUUGCAAGGAUACAUAUUUUGUCAAAGGUUCCGACUUAAAGGAUGCAUCUUAAUGUCCAAAAAUAUUAAUUUGUCAUAUUUUAUUGAAAAUGUCAACACAAAAUUUCAUCUACACCUGUUAGCGCCAUUUAGUGACUAUUACGGGCUAUGUAUAUGAUAAUUUAAUCUAACAAUGCACGUGCACUAACUUUAUAUGUGCUCUGUGUAACAAAUUGUGAACUACGAAAGCUAUUCUUGGGUCCAAACGUGACAUGUAUGGACCCCAUACUGGGUCCAAAUUCAUAUAUGCUCUGUUGUAUGGAUCCCAUACUUUUUUAUGUGCUCUGUUGUAACUUUAUAUGUGCGCUUUGUAACAAAUAUUGAACUAUGAAAGCUAUUCUUCGGUCCCUAAUUUAUGGGGAGACAUGUAUGGACCCCACACUGCAAUGUGUUCGUCAUCCAAAUUCAACAACAGGUACACUUAUGUACAUAUGAUGACUAUCAAUUUAAAAGUUUCAAUAAUCUACCACAAGGUUAAUAUAGUCCUUCUCAAUAUACCCCAAAACAUAAUCUACACCAAUCCAAAAGCUACAUUAGACACAUGACAAUGUAUAAAUGGGAGAAGAUCCAAUUUUGUCAAACUACAGUCACAUCUGACUUCAUGAAAUUCAUGCAUUACCAACAUUCAAUUGCACCCAUUUUAGUACUUGCAGGUUUGCAAAGCUGUCCGAAAACUUAGAGUUCUCCGCUGAGGUACACAAUCGAGCUGUGUACAACACUCGAUACUUGCCAACAUUUUCCUUUCCAAUUUAAACGUAAUAAGUAUUUUCAAAAGCAAAGGCAACAACUAUAAUGUGAGAACCCGUGGAUUUUCUUAUUUUCUAGAUUUUAUUUUAUUUAAUUGCACGCUUUUCUGUAUUUUCUUUAUUAGAAAAAUUUUCUAGAUAAUUUUUAUGAGUAAAUAUAGUUUUUAGAUGAUUUUUCUAGUAUCGGUUAGUUUUUGAGAAAUUAAGAGCGUAUACCGGACGUGGGACCCACUAGUGCGGUAAGUUUGAUAAAAUUCGGCCAAUUAGGUUAAGUUGUGUAUACCGAGUUUAAUUUAUCAGAUGUUAAGAGAUAAUUAGAAGUUACCUAGAUGGAUUAUUAUUGGAGAGACAAAAGGAUAGAGAUGUAUUAAAUGGAGUGACAAGUGUCACUUGGAGGUUAAUUCUCAACUUAGUCAAUUUUGAUCAACUUUCUUGCUUUACCAAUUUAAGUAAAAAUUUCCAAAAAUCAUCCUCAUUUUAAAGCUUCCUUGGCCGAACCUCUUGCUCCAAAAAAGAAAGGAAAAGCUCUCCAAUCUCUUGCUCCAAACUUGCUCAAUCCAACAAACCAACCGUUUAAUCUUGCAUUUACUCCAUAAAAACCCUUAAGUGAGUGGUUGUGAGGUGAUUAGUGAAGUUGUUUGGAGGAUUAAGGUGCUAAGUUGCUCUUGUUCUUGGGUUGUUAAGGUGUGUAACUAAGGGACCUUUCUUGCAACUCAAUAAUGCUUAAUUAUUGACAUGUGUGAGGUGAAGUGAUGAUUUUAGGUGUUGUUUCAUGACUUUUGGUAGAAUUUGGUGCAUUUUCUAUUUAAUCAUGAUUUUUUUGUUUUCAUAUGAUUACUAUUGUGUGGCCAUGUAUGAUGGUUGGAAAUGAUCUAGAAUGAAGCUAGAAUGUGUAAAUUGUGGUUGUUUGCGGAAAAUUUCUGCAUUGAACGGAAAAAUUCGGAUUUAGGGUUUCAAUUCAACCAUUCUGCCCGGUACUUUUCCUCAUAGUUAGAGGUCGAAUUUGUAACAGCCCCACUUUCCCCUAAGGCGAACCAAAGGGGUUAGCGGGCUGCCUGCCCAGCUCUCGCCAGGACUACGGAUCAGUUCACAUCGAUUUAAUACGUUCCAGAACAUACCCACGCGCGUAAACAAGUCAAAAUCACCAAAUAAAAAAAAUGAAAAUCGAAGCCGAUGAUGAACAGUACCGUCCACAUCAGAAUCCGAAUUUGGUCCUGUUCAUUCCCGCCAAAAUUUUUCCUUUGCCAUUUGAAAUGUAGAUCAGUCCGGAUUCCAACCAAACCUCAACCAAGCAUAUAUAUACAUCGAAAUCCAACAUUUACAACCAAAUGGCGUGCCAAAAACCACUCAUUACGAAUAUACAUGUUCGGUUUGCUAAUCAAAAAAAAUGAACCCAAUACACAUUAGAGUUUCAUUCAAAGAGCUAUCCAAAAGAUACAUUUACAUGAGCUCAACUUGACAACCAACUAACACAACCUUUUCCAAAAGUGGUCAUUUCCUGUAAGGAAAACAAAUGGAACGGAAUGAGCUUAAGCCCAGUGAGUUACUACCACAUAAGCAACAAAGAGCAUAUAGCAUAACCUUUCACUUCAAGUACACAAUUAAAGAAUAAAAUAAGUCGGUAAAAGGAUACGGACGGCUCUCAAGAGCCCAUUUCCACGCUUACAUUCUUGAUCCAAUCUCAUUGACUCUCCGUCAACGUUUAUGAGUACCAACCGUAGAACCCACUUCACUCCCAUCCCUUCCACCAGACAUACCCCAACCGGGCCCGCACUCCAAUCAGUAGCUUUUGGUAAUACUCGAGUUUACCGGAAUCAAGAGUCUCAUUACUACAAGAUUCCCCAGUACAGUCCCCGUGGCAUGUCAAUUUUCUCGACCAAGCCCUCGCCGGCUCGAUUCAAUUGACUACCAACGGGGUUGAGCUCAGUAGUACAGUAAGGCCGUUGGAUACUCGUCCAAACGACACCAAAUCAGUUUUUCAUGAAGUGAAUUCAAUAUCUCAUAUAGCAAGUGCAGUAUAUCAGUGAAGCGGUAAACAGUCAUUAACGUAUCACAAGGGGUGAGGGCGGUCAAGUACACCCUCGCCUCAAUCAAUUCCAAUAGCCAAAUAACCCUUCAAGGCAUCAAAAUCACAUAUGUUAUUCUUGGUUUUGAUGAUCACAAAGGACUUUGAAAUGUUUAUUUAACUCUCUUCAAAUAUAAGUGUUUUUUACCUAUCAAAGAAUCAGGUACGAAUAUGUCAAGAAAUGAAAAUCAACCAAAAGAAGAAGCAAAAACAGGACACUCAUGUCGGACGUCCUAAGGAAUUGGUCGGACGUCCGAAAGGAUGAAGAUCAUUAAGAAGAAGAUUCUGUCGGACGCUCGUGAGGAAGCAUCGGACGUCCGGAUAGAUCGGACGUACUCCUCGGACGCACAUCGAACGUGUCGGACGUCCUAAAAAUUCCACAAAAUGUUGAUGACUCUCUGCCAAGACUCUGUCGGACGCUCGUAAGGAAGCAUCAGACGUCCUGAAGGAUCGGACGCAUGCUUCGGACGCACAUCAAUCUCAUCGGACGUCCUAAAAAUUCCACGAAGAUUUGAUAACUCUCUGGACGACGUUCGGACACAGAAGCUCGGACGAUAAAAUACCAUCGGACGUCCGAACAACAACUUGACUGAUUUUCGGACGAUGGGAUCGGACGAUGACUAAGACGUCGGACGUCCGACAGCUCCAACGGCUAGCUGACUCUUCAUCUGCCUUCUAUCCGUUGGAAGUAUUAAUGAAGCCCAUUUUUGGCUCCCUUUAAAUACAAACGAUUCUGAUUCAGAAGAGGACUUUUGCACACUUUGUUUACAAGAUCUCAAGAGAUAUUUUAGCUAGAAAAUAGUCUCCAAAGCUAGAUUUGUUCUCCAAGUGGUGUGAAUUUCUUGUGAGCUUUUCUCUUGUGGUUGAAAGUUUCUUUAGUGUAACUUUUUUGAGGGUUAUCUGAGUGAUUGUAAAACUUCUUAGCUUGACUAAGUGAGGCUUAGGGCAAGGAGGAAGUGCUCCCUCCAUUGUACAUCUAGUUGAUCAUCUUUCAUCAAAGAGAAGUUGCUCAACCUAGUGAUUGGUCUUCAAGUUUGAGGAAAGCUUGGUAGACAAUCGGUUUGAUAUUCUAUCUUAUUCUUUUUGUUUAAUAAAACUCUCAUUGCUUAUCUAUACUUGUUUUUCGAAUCAAUAUUGCUCUCUUCUUCUAAUCUACUUGAUUGAUCAUUAUUAGAAAAGAAGGUAAAUUUUAUUAAGCAAAAAUUGCAUAAAUUUGAUUAAGAUUUUAAUCAACCUAAUUCACCCCCCCUCUUAGGUUGUCUUUGGGCCUUACAAUUGGUAUCAGAGCUUGGUCUCCUAGAGAUUAAGCUCUAACGGCUUGGAGUAAAGAUGACAACCAGUCAUGCUAUGUUUGUUGAGGGCAAUCUGUUACUAGGCCUCCCAUGUUCAGUGGCUCCAAUUAUGUUAGCUGGAAAGAAAGGAUGAUUAUCUUUUUGCAAUCUAUUGAUAUUGAGCUAUGGUUUAUUGUGAGUGAAGGACCGCAUGAAGCUAACUUUCUUGAUGCAGAUACAGGGUUGCUUCGGCCAAAAAGAAGAGCUGAAAUGAAUGCUCAAGAUAGGACUAAUCUCACACUGAAUGCCAAAGCCAUGAAUGUUCUUUAUAGUGCCUUAGAUUCAAAUGAAUCAAUUAGAGUAAAAGGCUGUAAAUCGGCCAAAGAAAUGUGGGAUAAGCUAAGAGAAAUCCAUGAGGGUGGUGACAACGUGAGAGAACAGAAAAAGGCUAUCUUGGUCACAAAGUAUGAAUCAUUUAAAAUUGAACCUCUUGAGGAUAUUGACAAAAUGUAUUGCAGGUUCAAUGACUUGAUCAAAGAUCUCGAGGUGUUGGGCAAAGAGUACACCUUGGGAGAGAAGAACAGGAAAAUUCUCAAUGCAUUGGGCAAAGAAUGGGAAAAUAAAGUGACUGCAAUAGAGGAGGCUAAGGAUUUAAAUUCUGUGCCUAUUGAAUCUCUCAUUAACUCACUAACCUCUUAUGAGUUGAAACUGAAAUCUAAAGUGCAGGAGGAAGAGGAUGCUAGAGCAAAGAGAAAUAUUGCUCUGAAGACUACUCAAAGUGAAGAUGAUCCAGCUCACUUGGAUGAUGAAGACUCGGAUGGUGAUGAUAAUGAUCUUGCUCUCAUCACAAGAGGUUUCAAGAGAAUCUUGAAUAAAAGGAAGUUUAGAAAGGGAGGACCUAGCAAUCAAUUUCAAAAUUAUUCAUCAAAUGCAAGGAACAAAGGAAAACAAGAAUUCAACAAGAAGCUAGUGGAUAAAUGCUAUGAAUGUGGACAGCCUGGACACUAUGCAAACGAAUGCCCCAUGAAGAAAAUGAAAGAUGGGAAAGCUGAUCGAAAACCAAGAUUCAACAACUUCCAGAUUACUUGGAAUGAAUGCAACUCUGAAGGGGAAGUUGAAGAAGAGGAAGAAUCAACUCAAAUGGCCUUCAUGGCUAUUGGAGAUAAUGAGGUAACUUCCAUACACUCUCAAUCUGAAAGUGAUGAUGAAGAAGAUGAUGAUCUUGAAUCCUUUGUUGAAAAACUGCAUAAUGCCUUGAAGGAAUCUUAUGAUAAAAACAAGCAGCUAAAACAGAAAAUUACUUUUCUCAUUCAUGAAAAUACAAGUCUUCUUCAACAAAAUAAGCAACUAAAGACUGACAAUGAUUGUCUUGUAAGAGCCGGAUUUAAUGUUCAAAAUGAGCUUGAUAGAAAGACAAAUAUUUGUAGAAUGCUGAAGGAAAGACAUGGUGAUUUGAAAAAAAAGAUGGACAACUUGGAUGACACUUUGAAAGCAAGAAAACAAGAUUUUCUCAAAAAGAACAUGUCAUCUACCUUUCUUACUGCUCAUCAAAGAACAUUAGCACGCAACAAAAAUGCACAUGGUUUCACUACAUAUAGAAGAAAUGGAUUGAGAUAUGUCAAACCAGUACAUGUUAAGGACUCUUCCAUUAUGUGUGAUUUUUGUUGUCAAAAAGGGCAUUUGAAAGGAGAUUGCUAUGUGAAAAGAAAUCUGAACAGAGGGAUAAAAUGCAUAUGGUUAGUGAGAUACAAUGCUAACUAUUGUGGACCCAAAAAUUAAAAAGGGUACCAAACAUUUUCUCUUUUCAGGAAAAAGGCUCAAACAAGUCCAAAUGGUUUAUUGAUAGUGGCUGCUCAAGGCAUAUGACCGGUGAUCCCUCUUUGUUCAUAAAGCUAAAAUCAAAAUCAAGUGGAAAGGUGACAUUCGGUGAUGAUGUGAAAGCUAAGACAAUUGGAAUAGGUGAUGUUGGUAAGGAUGGUGAAACUUUUGUUCAUAAUGUGCUCUUAGUUGAUAAUUUAGGUUAUAACUUGCUUAGUGUUAGUCAAUUGUGUGAUAAAGACUUGAAUGUGUUGUUUAAAAAGCAUGAAUGCAUUGUGCUUGAUUCCAAAUAUAAUGUUGUGUUCAAAGGUAAGAGGUUUAACGACAUAUAUAUUGUGGUUCUUGAUAAAAUUGAUUCUUCUAGCUUCAAAUGUCUUAAAGCUUCAAAUGAAGAUCCUUGGUUGUGGCAUAGGAGACUUUGUCAUUUUAACAUGGAUUUACUAAAGGAGAUUUCGAAAAAGGAGCUGGUUAGAGGCUUGCCAAAAAUCUGUUUUGAAAAGGAUAAAAUUUGUGAUGCUUGUCAAUUUGGAAAGCAAACAAAAGUUUCUUUUAAACCAAAGAAGUGUGUUUCAACUUCUAAACCUUUAGAACUCUUGCAUCUUGACUUAUUUGGUCCUACUCAAAUCACUAGUUUGGGAGGUAAGAAAUACUGCUUUGUGAUUGUGGAUGAUUAUUCUAGAUAUACUUGGGUGAUAUUUCUUGCUCAUAAGGAUGAUGCCUUCAAGAAUUUCACUUCAUUGUUUGCUAAAGUGCAAAAUCUGCUUGGCUUAAAAAUUGUUAGGAUUAGAAGUGAUAAUGGAACGGAAUUCAAGUAUUGUGGUUUUCCAGAUUUCUGUGAUCAUAAUGGCAUAACACAUGAGUUUUCAAUUGCUAGAACUCCACAACAAAAUGGUGUUGUAGAAAGGAAAAAUAGGACACUACAAGAGGCUGCUAGAACUAUGUUGAGUGAAUGUAGUUUGCCAAAAUACCUUUGGGCUGAAGCGGUAAACACUGCAUGUUAUGUGAUGAACAGAAUCCUUUUGAGACCCAUCUUGAAUAAGACUUCUUAUGAACUGAUUUUUGAUAAAAAACCUACGGUUGGAUAUUUCAAAAUCUUUGGUUGUAAAUGUUUUAUUUUAAAUUUAAAGGAACAUCUUGGUAAGUUUGAGAAAAAAUCUGAUGAAGGAAUAUUUUUGGGUUAUUGUGAGAACAAAAGAGGAUAUAGAGUCUUUAAUAGAAGGACUCUUGUGAUAGAAGAAGCCAUUCACAUAACAUUUGAUGAAAAUAAUGAUGAUAAUUCCAAAAGGUCGUGUGAGGAUGAUGAUGUAGGUGUUCGUGAUGGAAUGGAAAAGCUGAAAAUUGGUGAUGAAGGAAUUUCUAAACCAGCAACAAUGGAAAUGAUGGAUGAAGCUCAUAAUGAUCAAGAAAAGGGUGAUGAAGAUGAGAAUGAUGAUUCAGUCAAAGAUCUUCCCAAUGCUUGGAAAUUCAGCCAAAAUCAUCCAAGAGAGCUUAUAAUUGGUGAUCCAUCCGAAAAGGUAAAGACUCGUUCUUCAUCUAGAAUAUUGAUAGACAAUUUUGCUUUAGUUUCUCUUUUUGAACCCAAAAAUAUCAAUGAUGCUUUAAAGGAUGAUAACUGGAUUUUGGCUAUGCAAGAGGAACUUAACCAAUUUGAGAGAAAUAAGGUUUGGACACUUGUUGAUAGACCUCAAAAUCAACCUAUCAUUGGCACAAAGUGGAUAUUUAGAAAUAAAUUGGAUGAUAAAGGUGUUGUUAUAAGGAAUAAAGCCAGAUUAGUUGCUAAAGGAUAUGCACAAGAAGAAGGAAUUGAUUUUGAUGAAACAUUUGCUCCCGUAGCAAGAUUAGAAUCUAUUAGAAUGCUUCUUGCUUUUGCUUGUUUCAAAGGUUUCAAAUUGUUUCAAAUGGAUGUUAAAAGUGCCUUUUUAAAUGGUUUUAUUGAUCAAGAAGUAUAUGUGGAUCAACCUCCCGGUUUUGAAAAUACAAAAAUUUCCAAGUCAUGUGUUUAAACUAUCUAAAGCAUUAUAUGGUUUAAAACAGGCUCCAAGAGCUUGGUAUGAAAGAUUAAGUGGUUUCUUGAUUGAAAAUGGUUUCAAAAGAGGUUUUGUGGACACCACACUGUUUACUAAGCAAGUGUUAAAUGACCUUCUUAUUGUGCAAAUAUAUGUUGAUGAUAUUAUUUUUGGUGCUACUAAUGAGUAUCUAUGCAAGGAUUUUUCCACCACUAUGCAAAGUGAAUUUGAAAUGAGUAUGAUGGGAGAAUUAAAUUUCUUCCUUGGACUUCAAAUACAUCAAGCCCUUGAGGGAAUUUUUAUAAAUCAAGCAAAAUAUACCAAGGAAUUGCUGAAAAAGUUUGGCAUGGAAGACUCAAAGCAAGUUGGAACUCCAAUGUGCACUUCUACAAAACUUGACAAAGAUGAAGAAGGUAAUCAUGUGGAUGAAAAGCACUAUAGAGGUAUGAUCGGAAGCUUACUCUAUUUAACCGCAAGUAGACCUGAUAUUAUGUUUGCUGUUUGCUUGUGUGCUAGAUUUCAAUCUUGUCCAAAAGAAUCACAUUUAAAUGCUGUUAAAAGAAUUUUUAGGUAUUUGAAAGGUACAUUAGACUAUGGUCUUUGGUAUGCUAGAUCUUGUGAAUUUGCUUUAUAUGGAUAUUCGGAUGCGGAUUUUGGUGGUUGUCGUGUGGACAGAAAAAGUACUAGUGGAACUUGUCACUUUCUUGGUAAUUGCUUAGUUUCUUGGUUUAGCAAAAAGCAAAAUGCAAUAUCUUUGUCUACAACCGAAGCGGAAUAUAUUGCCGCUAGUGCAUGUUGUGCUCAACUUUUAUGGAUGAAGCAUACCUUGAAUGAUUUUGGAUUGUUAUAUGACUGCAUGCCUAUAUUCUGUGAUAAUACUAGUGCUAUUAAUUUGACCAAAAAUCCAAUUCAACAUUCUAGGACAAAACAUAUAGAUAUAAAGCAUCACUUUAUUCGAGAUCUUGUUCAAAAAUGUGAAAUUUGUGUAAAUUAUGUUUGUUCUAAAGAUCAAUUUGCUGAUAUUUUUACCAAAGCUUUGCCAUUAGAUCAGUUCAUUCAUCUAAGAUCAAAAUUGGGAAUAAUCGAAAAAUCAUCUUAAAAUUUCUCAAAGUCUUCGGACGUCCGAAAGAAGAUGAACGGACGUCCGAUAAUGUUCUUCAGCUAUUUUUUCCAGAAAACACCUGUUCGGACGAAGAUGUCGGACGCACGACUUCGUUCGGCCGUCCGACAGUGCAACGGUACACUUUUUAAAGUAACUUUCUUCCUCAUUUGCUUCAAACUCUUGUUCUUCUAUUUCCUCUCGGACGAGAACUCUCUCAUCUCUUACUCUCAAAUUCAUACCAUUCUGAAGCUCUCAUUCCAAAAUUGACUCAACCAAAACUUUUCCUGAUCGAUUGCGACUCGUUUCUCCUGAUCAUUUCACCGAAUCGCAUAACAUUUCGUAAAGUCCCAAAUUUCCCUCUAAACCCUACUUUCUCAUAACCGCUCUGUCAAAUCUUGUUCAAGGCCUUUUUGUCCCAUAAUUUCUGUGCGAUUCACUUCCCUACUACUGUGUGCAUCAUUUGCAUCCUUCAUUCCACACAUUUCACACAAUGGUGAAUCUAAGAGGAGGAAAGGUUACUGCCGGACGCAAGCAUCCACUCAGGGAUGAGGAUGAGGAUCUUCCUACGGUCAAACGUUCAUCCAAACGCUUCAAGAGAGGAGCCGUAAAAGGUCAAAUGUCACGGCCUACUCCACAACCCACCUCUCAGCCUGAAUCUGGACAGGGAACCUCUUCUCAACCGCCUCCAAAAUCAGCCACACUCCCUACAUUCUUUGAUGAUGCUGCAAAAGACAAACACUCCUGGAUAUCCCAGAAAGGUGUCAUCCCUCAACGAAUUGUAAACUCUUCUGAAUUUCGCCACAUAGGUUUAGAAUCCAUUCUGAGUCUAUUUGCUUUCCAGAAAUGGUCACAUUUCGUUUCUAUGCCCAAUGUUUAUUACCCUGAAAUGCUGUAUCAAUUCUUUGCUAAUCUUAGGAAAGGCACUGAUCAGACUGAGAUUAUGUCCAGGGUUAAUGGGGUAGACUUAGUCUUUGAUUCUGAAAUUGUGAAUGAUAUUUUAAAAACUACUAUUGAACCUGGAUGCAAGGAUAAAAUUGCAAAUUUCUUUUCCUAUGAAGAGCACCCUACUGCUGAUAAUCAUUUUGAUGGGGCUAAAAUGUUAACUUAUUUUAAAAGAAGUUUUUCCUCCCCUGCUGAUGCUAAACUGAAUGAUCUUGCUCCUGUGAAUCUAAUUGCCUUUUCAAUCAUUUCAAACCUGCUUGUACCCACUGAUGGCCAUAGAACUGAUGCAAACAAAAUGGAGUUGUAUCUCUUUUACUGUUUUCGAGAAAAAAUUCGUAUUGAUUUUGGUUUUGUCAUGUGCAAGUUUUUACUUCGCUAUGCCACUGAUUCUCGCAGAAAAUUAUCUUAUGGAAAGUUUCUUCAAAGGAUUUUUGAGUUUUACAAAGUUCGAAUUCUAGGUGUUUGUCCCAAAGAAGCAUCUUCUUAUGCCUUUACCAAAGGAUAUUUUGAAAGGAAAAAUCUUGUUUUUAAAGAUAAUCUGUGGGCUUAUAAGGGGGCAUCAUCUAGUGAACAGAGGUCUAAGACUACACAUGAUCCUUCAUCUGUUUCACUCACUCCCAUUCAUCCCAGGAAGUCUGCCACUAAAGCAGCUUCCUCCUCCAAUGAUGAAGUGAUUGAGUUCCUUCGUGAACUCAAACAGCAUGUUCUUCUUCUAGAACAUGGUCUAAUGCUCACCAUGUCCUCUGAGAAACAAACAGCCUUCCUAGACAAAAAGAACCUUCUUUUUCCCCCACCUGUGGUUGAGGAAGUUUCCCAUGACAAAGAACCACACCCCACUGAUCCAAGCUCAUCAAUUCCAGACCCUGGUUCAUCAACUCCUGUGACUCCUCAUGGCCCUUCCACAUCAGAUAAACGCAAGGCACCAGUUGACGAGGCUGCUGCAGAUGAUGAAGAAACUGAAGAGGAGGACCUCUCCCAAUAUCAGCUCUCUCGAAGAACACCUGGAUCCACAUAGUUCACCAUUUAGGACAUUUGCAUUUUAUUUAUUUCAUGUGUUUGUGGUGUUCAACAAUGGAUAUGUAGAUGAAUUCAACAUUUGGUUAUGAUUAUGUUUAUGUUUCUUUUGGUACUGUUUGAUAGAUGAUUAAGUAUUUUGAAUGAUGAUUGUGUGGAUGUAAUGAAUUUUGUGGAUGAUUGUGUGGAUGUUUAAGUAUUUUUGAAUGAUGUUUGUGGAUGAGAUGGAUGUGAUUGAUUGCCCUUUUGUGAUGACAAAAAGGGGGAGAGGACUGGAUUGAUUGAUGAUUGAUGAUUGAUUGAUUGAUGAUUUGAUCAAAUUUGGAUUGACUGAUGGAUUGAACUGGUAAAAUGUUGGAUGUUGGCUGCUUAAUUGUCAUAUUUUGGAUAAUUGUUUAAUUCGGUUGGGCAGCCAAGUGAGGGGGAGUUUUUCAAAAUUUUUUUAUGAUUCACUAAGUAAGGGGGAGUUCUUGUCUAUUGAGAAAGAGGGAGUUUUUAUUGCAAUCAUCGAAUCUCAUUUCAAACUUUUGUUUUGUCAUCAUCAAAAAGGGGGAGAAUGUUAUUCUUGGUUUUGAUGAUCACAAAGGACUUUGAAAUGUUUAUUUAACUCUCUUCAAAUAUAAGUGUUUUUUGCCUAUCAAACAAUCAGGUACGAAUAUGUCAAGAAAUGAAAAUCAACCAAAAGAAGAAGCAAAAACAGGACACUCAUGUCGGACGUCCUAAGGAAUUGGUCGGACGUCCGAAAGGAUGAAGAUCAUUAAGAAGAAGAUUCUGUCGGACGCUCGUGAGGAAGCAUCGGACGUCCGGAUGGAUCGGACGUACUCCUCGGACGCACAUCGAACGUGUCGGACGUCCUAAAAUUCCAUAAAAUAUUGAUGACUCUCUGCCAAGACUCUGUCGGACGCUCGUAAGGAAGCAUCGGACGUCCUGAAGGAUCGGACGCAUGCUUCGGACGCACAUCAAUCUCAUCGGACGUCCUAAAAAUUCCACGAAGAUUUGAUAACUCUCUGGACGACGUUCGGACACAGAAGCUCGGACGAUAAAAUAUCAUCGGACGUCCGAACAACAACUUGACUGAUUUUCGGACGAUGGGAUCGGACGAUGACUAAGACGUCGGACGUCCGACAGCUCCAACGGCUAGCUGACUCUUCAUCUGCCUUCUAUCCGUUGGAAGUAUUAAUGAAGCCCAUUUUUGGCUCCCUUUAAAUACAAACGAUUCUGAUUCAGAAGAGGACUUUUGCACACUUUGUUUACAAGAUCUCAAGAGAUAUUUUAGCUAGAAAAUAGUCUCCAAAGCUAGAUUUGUUCUCCAAGUGGUGUGAAUUUCUUGUGAGCUUUUCUCUUGUGGUUGAAAGUUUCUUUAGUGUAACUUUUUUGAGGGUUAUCUGAGUGAUUGUAAAACUUCUUAGCUUGACUAAGUGAGGCUGAGGGCAAGGAGGAAGUGCUCCCUCCAUUGUACAUCUAGUUGAUCAUCUUUCAUCAAAGAGAAGUUGCUCAACCUAGUGAUUGGUCUUCAAGUUUGAGGAAAGCUUGGUAGACAAUCGGUUUGAUAUUCUAUCUUAUUCUUUUUGUUUAAUAAAACUCUCAUUGCUUAUCUAUACUUGUUUUUCGAAUCAAUAUUGCUCUCUUCUUCUAAUCUACUUGAUUGAUCAUUAUUAGAAAAGAAGGUAAAUUUUAUUAAGCAAAAAUUGCAUAAGUUUGAUUAAGAUUUUAAUCAACCUAAUUCACCCCCCCUCUUAGGUUGUCUUUGGACCUUACAACAUAUAGCAAAGCCACAUUGUAACAUUCAAGUGAGUAGUAUACUCACAACUCAAGUAGGUGAUGUUUCAUGCACCGUCGUUAAAAGGACGUCGUGAACCCCCGUCACGUCCUAAAACAUGUAAACAAAUACAAUGAGACUCGAUAACGAGUCAUAAAGCCAUACCAAUCACAACCCCAAUAGGGUUUCAUAAACAUAGACAAGUAGCAUAGGUAACCAGAAAUUUCAGCAAUGUAACUAACUUGACCUUGACAAAACAGUUUUCGUCCUAAUUUUGCGGUAAUGGCUCAAAUUGCGCUACGCUUAUCGGAUGAGGGUGAAAGAUCCACCAUAUCGAAGCUAAAAGACAGGGCUACAACAAUGUAGAAGGCCACUCAGUCCAAAUCCUAGCACAACUAGGUCAAAUAUGCAAAAUACCAAACCAGAACCUUAAUUGCAGGUUUACAAAUUACACUAUGCUGUAAUUAGUCCAACUCAGUCUAUACAAGUCCAAAUUCAUUGAUUCCAAAGGCAUAUGGUAGCUAAGACAUCAAGAUACAUUUCAUCAGAAGACCUCAACAACCAAAUCUAAAGCAAUUCCAGUCAAAACAGCCAAUUACAGGCGCAGUUCGGCCAUCCUGAAGAACCCAGAACAGCAACAGUAAAAUCGACUUUUCUCACUCUACACAACUCCGAUGAACCUGAAAUUUUACAGACACCUCAAACACAUCAAUACCUACAACUUUCAUGUUUUAAGCCAAGGCCAAUUCGGUCUCUAACCAUGAGAUAAAAAACCGGACAGAAUUGGGGAUAUAAAACCCUAACUUUCUCAAAUUCCUUCCAAACCCAAAAUUGCUUGCAAUUACCAAUCAUGUACACCUACUAGAGUCAUUACCCUUCAUUACCAACCAUCAUAGAUAACCACAACAUCAUGAUCAAAUUAAACCAGAAAAUACACCAUUAAAUUGAAAACUUCAUCAUUUCAUCCAAAAGCAAGAAAUAAAUCACAAAUGUCAUCACUUUAGCUUCCACUAAGCACAACUCAAGCUUCAUUAAGUGUAGGAGGAAGUUCAAACACCACUUACCUAGAACACAAGAGAGGGAGAGUUGUAGGACACCUUAGCUUCCUUGAACACUUCCACAAAAUCACUUACUAGCACCAAAUGGAGGGAUUUUAUGUAGUAGAAACAAAUUUAAGCAAUUGGUUUGGAUGAUUUGCACUAGAUGGAAGCUUGAAAAUUGGAGAAGUUUUCUUUCUUUUCCUAGAGAGAGAGCCGGCCAAGAAGUUGAAGACAAGAAUGAAUUUUGUGUGAUUUUUGAGAUAUUUAAGCAAUUGGUCAAAAGUCAAGAAAAUGAAUAGUUGUCCUACAAGUGCCACCACUCACCAAGUGACACUUGUCACUACAUUUAAAGCAUUUCUAUCCUUUAAGUCUCUCUCACAUCAAUCACAUCUCAUCCUCUACUUAUCUCUUAACACCCGAUAAAUUUCACUCAGUAUCCGAAACUCAACCUACUUGGCCGAAUUUUUCCGAACUUUUCGCACUAGUGGGUCCCACGUCCAUUAUAUAUCCGUAAUUUUUCAAAAACUCUCCAAUGCUUGAAAAAUUAUCUAAAAACUAUAAUUACUCAUAAAAUUCACCAAGAAAAUUUUCCUAAGCCAGAAAAUGCGGAAAACAUGCCAUUAAAGGAAAUAAACCCUAGGAAAAUUAUUAAGAGGAAUUUACGGGUUCUCACAGAAUUAGCCUUGGAUUAAAAUAUGAAAGUUGUAGAUAAUGAUAUUUUAGAGUUGCCUACAAAAUUUCAGCUCAAUCGGAGCAACGUAAACUGUGAAAAGACCGAAAUACCUCUACUACCCUGUUUCUAUCAGAAACUGAUAAUCAGCUUCUGUAAUUGGUUAUUUUGACCAGGAAUACUACUGAUUUGGUUGUUGAUGUCUUCUUAAGAAUUAUACCCUUGUAUCUUAGCUUUCAAAUGGCUUUGGAAUCACUUGAAUUGGAGUUGUAUGUGCUGAGAUAUGACUGAAUGAAUCAGGACUGCCACAGUAAACUUCGAACUGGAGAAUCUGGGGUUGUUUUGGUAAAUUUGACCUAGUUAGGGUGAGAACUGGACUAAGUAAUCUUCAUAAAAGUUACAAAUCCCUGUCUUAGCUUCAAAAUUCUAUAAGAUUCGUCUUAAUCCGAUAAGCGUAACUUAAGUUACGAUCGAAACACCGAGACACGUCAAACCUGCUUUUAGGCCUAUUGUCUUUCAAUUUGGUUUUCGGUUGCAUUAUUAACCUUGUGUUGUAAUUGACUAUAUAUGAAGGGUAUUGUGACCCUAAUUAGAUGUUUUUAAUAGCUUGUGAAUUAUAUUUGAGGUUGUGGUUGAUUUGGGUUGAAUUUGGUGUUGAAUUGUAGGGUGAAAAGUAAGAAAAACAAGGGGAAAUGCUGUUAAAAUUUUCGCAGGAACCCCGAAGCAGUUAUGGGAAAUCUACAAUAUAUGGAUGUCGAAAUAUCAGAAUUGAGUUCCGUUUGUUGUGUUUUAAACUAGAUUCACAGGGCUAUGAAUCGUGUAAAUUUCAGUUUCUGGUUUGGUCUGUGGGAUUUAUGGUGAUUUUUCAAAGUUAACCGAAAUCGUAUACCUGCUCUGCCUUUUUCUGGUUAAGACAGCAAUUUGAGGCUCGAAUUUGAUUGGCUUGUGAUCUGAAUCAACUAAAUAUGUCUUUUGAGAAAUUUUACCCCUUUGAGUCUAUUUUCCAACGGUGUAAAUUUUACCAAUUUCGAACUUAAGAAUCUUAAGAUAUGAUUUUUCAAUCAGGGGUGUGCAAAACUGAAAAAAAAA